GCGUAGAGGUGCCAGGGCCGAGAGCUGAAAUGAGGCCACAUUAGGUUUUUUCCCAGGGUUGGAAGGUCAAAGAGGGAAGGGAGUUCAGGACUGGGCAGGGGGCGGGCGUAGACAUGACAAGCCAUGAAAUGCUGUGGACAGGAGCAAGCGUCUGUGGCUCUGGGACAAGGCAGCACUGGAAAUCUUUGUAAAAUCCUCUCUUUGCAGAGUGAUACCCAGAAGUGGGGUUAUGGGUCAAAGAGCAUGUGCUUUCAACAUUUGGAUGGGUCCUGCCUCAAAAAAGAAGAAGAAGAAGGAGAAGGAGAAGGAGAAGGAGAAGGAGAAGGAGAAGGAGAAGGAGAAGGAGAAGGAGAAGGAGAAGGAGAAGAAGAAGACUCCAGCUUACAUUCUCAUCAAAAGGGCACAAGACCCGCGUUGCCCCAUCUCCCGCAGUGUGGAACGUUUGCCAACCUGAUGGGCCAAUACGCCGUCACCUUGUUCCAGCGGGAGAGCAUGAGUUUUGCAUGUUUACUGGACACUUGCAUUUCUUGGCCUGUGAAAUCUGUUGCUGUUCUUUGCCCCUUUUCCUGUUCUUGACCGUUUCUUGCUCAUUCUUGGAGGGCCUCACAUCUUUGCUUGCCUUCCGCACACUCCCUUCUCUCCUUCCCCGUUUUGUUUUUCCCAUGGCUGCCAUCUGACAUGCUACAUGUUUAUUUCCUUAUUGCCUGUCCCUCCUGCCCCAUGAGAAUGAAUUAAGAGUGAAUAAGAGCCAGGAGGGCAGGGACUUUCGUCAUUUGUUCAUUUUAUUGUUCCCAGCACCUAGGACAGUGCCUAGUACUCAGUUGGCAACCGUUAAUUAAUUGUUCUAUGAAUGAAUGAAUGAAUGAAUGAACUAAUGAGUCAGUAAUAACCUUUUAUCUGUUAUUUGUUUUUCAAAUAUUUUCCCCAUAGCUCUCACUUGCCCUUUAUUUUGUUUAUGUGAGUUUGAUCAUACCGAAAAUUUUAAUUUAUGUGAGGUCAAACCUGUUAGUUCUUUCACACAUGAGUUUUAUGUUCUGCACUUUGCUUAAUAUACAGAGGAUGCCAAAAAAAUGUAUACACAUUUUAAGAAAGGAAAAAACUACUAAAAUUGUAAUACUCAAUAUAUACCAAUAACAAAAGAUGAACACAAGUCACGUUUGACUUCUGCAA